CAGACGAACUGGACGGGUCGAGCCUAAGGCCCGUGUUCCGUCCAAACCCAAAAUAGGGACAUGCAUGGAUUUACAGCUGCAGUAGUCGAGACUGAGACAAUACGAGAGGCUUGUGCGGACCACCAUCACUGUCAACUGUACGAAGCUCAAUAGCAACGGAACCAGUAAUAGCAGUAGCAGGGAGGGCAUCGCAGUGGAGAUAACACAGAUUUGAUUUUCACCAGAGCUUCCAAACGGCCCCAUUUCCACUUACGUGGCCCCUCACGCAGUACUAGCAGCCACACAUACAAUCAUACAUCUAACAGCCUAUAAACUUCGUAUAUGGGACUGACAUAUUUUUCCCACUCAAGUGCCCACUGCCUGCGAUUGACUUCCCACAAGUGCCUACCUACGUACGUCCUAGAUAGCAGCAGGGCUUUGCGUAUAAGAAAGUACUUCUGCAUCAAAUUUGGGGCGUAUUCUUUCUACUCUUAAUGAAUAGAAUUAUAAGUCUGAUUGAAGACUGCAUACAGACGUGAUCACAAUAUCAUUAUAGGCGAGAAUUACAUCAGUCGAUGAUAAGGACUGAUGCUGCACACUCAAUAGCGCAUAUAGGCCAAAAGUAUGAAAUGACCGGGAGAGUUUGAUAUAUUGUUCUUAUUAGGGUAAAUAUUUCUUUAUCCAUAGAAAGAAAAUCUUAAUUGGUAUUUUACUAAGUUCAUGAUAUCAACACGUUUAAAUUUCAGUAUUAGAGAUGUGUAGGUCACAAGUAUAGAUGAACCCUAAUGUCGUACAUCAUGGUAAAGAAAUAUGUCCUUUUGCCUUUUCCCGUAUACCUGUAUUAACGUGAGACAUAGUAAUGAUACGAAUGUAAAACACCUCCAUCAGCUAUAAUUUUUCACAGCAUUCGUAUUUCUGUUGCUUCUGAACUUUAGCAUAGAGAAUUUCUAGAAGCUAGAUUCCAGAAACAUCUAAAUAUCUCACAUAUAGUACAACUGUGUGGUCCGCAAGCGUGAGAUCCCCGCUCAACGGAAGAUUCGAUUCGUUGAGUUGGUAGAAUUUCAUCGUUUUCCCACUUCAGGUUCCCCCUGACGAAGUUAAUUGCGAUCAGGAGGAGAGGCGAAAAUUGCCAAGGCGUCCUUUCCAAACAAAGGAGUACUGUGUACAGUAAAUACAUUGUCAGUAUAAGAAUCUGGCCAGCUCAUAUGUAGGAUUAGAUGGAAGAGCAGGCGGGGGUUCAGUACAGCUCAUCUCAGAAACCGUGCCCCAGCCUGCGGCGCGCACCCCUCUUAUCCCGAAGGAGGUAGUCAGGUAUUUAUUCUUGGGCAGUUUCCACACUUCACUGCUAACCAAUUAAAUCGUUUUUCCUCAUUUUGAAGAACUCUGACAGAAGGCUGAGAAACAUAAAUGAACUAACUCACAUUCGACUAACGUAAGAGUCCUGGCUGUCCGUAGGCUUAAUAUAAUAUAACAACGAACAGAAGCCUGCUGUCAGUUGGGUCGUAGUUUGUUCUAUAGGGAAUUGUUGGGUUUUUUUCGAACACCUCUCUAUCUCUGCGUGAUUUUUUUGUUCCUGCAUACUUUACAACAUGAAUAAGAUUUGAGAAUUAACAGAUUCCUUAGUAGCUGCUGUUUUGGUAUAAUCAUGCAUGUGUUCCAUUAGUAAAUUUCCCCACGUGAAACGUUCUGCUGUUGCUGCUAAUGCUUAUUGUAGUAGUGAGCACGAUAAAAUGAAUGAUGGUUACUAGGUAGAACCACAAGUGAUUUGGGGGCUUAGGAGGCUUCAUCUGUGCACCCCUGUACCGUGUACGCCUGGGUAGAGCGCUGCGCCCUUGUACGAGCUUUAGUUGCUACCAAUACAGUUAGAAAGUAUUAAACUGCCUCUAUCGUGUAUUCUUUGUAGUUAGCGCAGCUGUUACAGGCGCCGCCGCCGCUCUGAAGGCCAGCGUGAGUUUCAUAUUCAUAUAAGAGCUGCUCUUCCACGUGCACAGUCGACAGUUACUACAAAUGGCUUUUGCAACAACUACCUACAAAGAACUAUUGCAGCAGCAGCGGCAGCGGUAGUCGCAGCAGUAGUAAAGGCACGGUCACACUGCCUGCGGCCACGCAUGUGAUGCGGCAUUCAGGGGCUCCAAUCUACAUACAUUAAUUGCUCUGUGCUCUGCGUGACGUACCGGUCAAGUAACAUUCACUUGUUGGACCUCCAGCAUCACCAGCGUGACUCAAGGCCCAUUCGUUGUUUCGCCUGCACAUUUGCCUGCGAGGGGCUUCCAUUCGUCGUGGCGGCCAGGACGACGGGCAGGGCGGAAUGGACAGAAGUUUAGCACUUUCGUUGUCAUCCUCCUGUUUAAAAAGUCAGCGUCGACCGACACAGCUGCAACGAGCUGCGCAUAAUCUUGAUUCGAACUUGGCUUAACUCGUCGUCGUUGAUGUCUUAGCGAGUAGUAGCCGGUCACUGCUGAUCAGACGCAGGACGUAUACUCUUUCUCAAGUCGUCACUACCAGAGAGCAAAAAAAGAAGCAGGCAGACAGCUAGCAAGGUUAGGAAGCUAAUGACAGGCAACAGGAUUGGCGGUCAUUCUGCCAAUUGGGUUUUGUAACGUUAUCUAAGACGACUUCGAGGGUUUACUUCGUUGCAUACAAACACAGAGGUAGACAAACGGCAGAAAAACUGGCGCAAGUUUUCGAACUUAACUUGGUUCACUUACGGACACAGAAAGUGAUGAGCGGAUAAGCAUGCAUCGUAAGUAACUGUUCGUCAUCAGCGGAACUCCCGUAACCGACAAAUAAAGCCUCUUGGAAAAUUUGGUGACGUCUCGUAAAAUUCGAAUUGAGGUUCAGCAAGUGGAAUGGAUCUUAAUGACAUCGCCAGGUAAUGAAGACUGGUGAGGAAAAAAACAAAAACAUGAAGCAACGAGCAAAGGCUGCCGCUCCAGACGCUGCCGCUGCCAUCGGAUCAACGCCAACAAGGAUAGCGGGUGGAGAUGUUCUGCAAGCACCCUAAUAGAAACCCUAAGCAGAAGCGAAACGGAGCGCGAGGACGGAGCCGAGAGCAAUGAGGUGCGCUCGCACUGAGGUGCUUCCUCUCAGCCCGCCGGAAAGGCCCGUCCCCCUCUAACCCUCGGAAGCGCCAGCACCCAAUUCCCCGGAUUCUGCAGAAGCAGCAGCAGCAGGAGUAGCAGGAAUAGCGGUCGAGGGGUGGCAACCGCACCACAAUCAUCAUCGCCAGACGCUGGAUGGAUCCAACCGCUGAAGAGUUUGCCGACUUGCGUUUCCCUUUCUAGCAGCACGCGCAGUCACGCACGACAUUGACCACCGAAACUCAGGGGACGAGAGAAGUCGAAUGAGACAAAACGACAAAGACACAAGAACGCAAAGACUUAGAACAGCGGCAGUAGUGGCAGAAGCAGCCGUAAGCUUCUUUGGCAACGAUCCUGGCAGCAAGGAGAUGUGC